rnacentral:tRNA from 1 species
UGUUAUGUGGCUUAGUUGGUAAAGCGCCGCUACACCGAUACGGAGUCGACGGUUCGAAUCCCACCAAAACAA